CUUUGCUUUUAUCAAACAGUUCUCCGUUUGCAGCAAUUAUAGCCUUGCAGACCUUUGGCAUUCUAGUUGUCAAUUUGUUGAGGUUAUAUGAGGAGAUUUCACCCAUGCUUCCUGAAGCUCCUCCCACAAGUUGGAUUGGCUUAAUGGGCAGGUUGUAAGUACCAUAUAGUCAAGCUGCUCAAAAAUAGCUCAGUAGAGUUGAGAUCUGGUGACUGCUGUCCACUCCAUUACAGACAGAAUACCAGCUGACUUCUUCCCUAAAUAGUUCUUGCAUAAUUUGGAACUGUGCUUUGGGUCAUUGUCCUGUUGUUGGAGGAAAUUGGCUCCAAUCAAGCACUGUCCACAAGGUAUGAUAACUUUCCUUCUUCAAUAUCCCUUUACCCUGUACAAAUGAUCCACUUUACCACCACCAAAGCACCCCAGACCAUCACAUUGCCUCCACCAUGCUUGGCAGAUGAUGUCAAGCACUCCUCCAGCAUCUUUUCAUUUGGUCAGCAUCUGAUGAAUGUUCUUCUUUGUGAUCCGAACAACUCAAACUUUGAUUUGUCUGUCCUUGACACUUUUUUCCAAUCUUGCUCUGUCCCGUGUCUUAUGCCCAUCUUAAUCUUUUCUUUUUAUUAGCCAGACUGAGUUAUGGCAUUUUCUUUGCAACUCUGUUGAGACUGGUGUUUUUGUGGGUAUAAUUUAAUGAAGCUGCCAAUUGAGGACCUGUCAGGUGCCUGUUUCUCUAGAAACUAGACACUAAUGCAUUUGUCCUCUUGCUCAGUUGUGCACCGGGGCCUCCCACUCCUCUUUCUCUUCUGGUUUGAGUUGUUUGUGUUGUUCUGUGAAUCGAGUAGUACACAACAUUAUACGUGAUAUUCAGUUUCUUGGCAAUUUCACACAUGGAAUAGCUUUUAUUUCUCAGAACAAGAAUAGACUGAAGAAGAAAGUUCUUUGUUUCUGGCCAUUUUGAGCCUGUAAUCGAACCCACAAUUGUUGAUUCUCCAGAUACUCAACUAGUCUAAAGGACAGUUUCAUUACUUCUUUAAUCAGUGCAACAGUUUUCUGCAGUGCUAACAUAAUUGCAAAAAGGUUUUGUAAUGAUCAAUUAGCCUUUUAAAAUGAUAAACUUGGAGUGGCAAACACAAUGUGCCAUUGGAACACAGGAGGGAUGAAACAAGAACAUCUCUAAGUGACCCCAAACAUUUGAACAAUACCAUACAUGAGUAAAAGAUACAAUUAAUGCACAAUGUCAAUAAAAUAACAUGUAGGAUUACAUUUUUAUUAAUUUCACAUUUAUUUUACUGGGUAAGUUGAGAACUGAUCUUCAUUUGCAACGGUGACCUGACCAAGUUAAAGCAUUGUGCAAAGACAACAUAAAGUGUCACAAAAUAUACAAAGUACAAAGUGCAGGAUACACAAUGUAAUCUGUAAAAAAAUCUCUGUACUGUUUGUGGAAAAGAGGUCUAUUUAGAGAGCUAAGUCAAUUAAUAUGCUGAGGUGGCAGAGCAUUAAUAAUGGACCAGUAACACUGAAUACGGUAUAGUGCGAAUUACUCUGCAGAUGGUACAUUUUAAAUAUGUGGUUGGAGGUGACACAGAAGCUGAGUCAUAAAUGUGAAAUAAUGAAAGUGCAAUAAUAAGGGUGGAGAAUUAAUAUGUGCAAUGAUCGGAAAUAAUCUCUGACAAUAGUUCCUGAAAUACAUAGAGGGAGAUAGGAAUUUCAGGGUUUUGCAGUUAAUUCCAGGCAGCAGCAAGCAGUGUUAAGCAGGAUUCAG
ensembl:lncRNA